ACCUACGGGGGGCUGCAGUGGGGAAUAUUGGACAAUGGGCGGAAGCCUGAUCCAGCAACGCCGCGUGAGGGAUGACGGCCUUCGGGUUGUAAACCUCUUUCAGUAGGGACGAAGCGCAAGUGACGGUACCUACAGAAGAAGCACCGGCCAACUACGUGCCAGCAGCCGCGGUAAUACGUAGGGUGCGAGCGUUGUCCGGAAUUAUUGGGCGUAAAGGGCUCGUAGGCGGUUUGUCGCGUCGGGAGUGAAAACGCCGUGCUUAACACGGCGCUUGCUUUCGAUACGGGCAGACUAGAGGUAUUCAGGGGAGAACGGAAUUCCUGGUGUAGCGGUGAAAUGCGCAGAUAUCAGGAGGAACACCGGUGGCGAAGGCGGUUCUCUGGGAAUAUCCUGACGCUGAGGAGCGAAAGUGUGGGGAGCGAACAGGAUUAGAUACCCCAGUAGUCAG
rnacentral:rRNA from 1 species